rnacentral:rRNA from 1 species
CUGCCCAGUGACUCUUUAAACGGCCGCGGUAUCCUAACCGUGCAAAGGUAGCAUAAUCACUUGUCCCCUAAAUAGGGACUGGAAUGAACGGCUAAAUGAGGACAAAGCUGUCUCUUACGGCCUAGCCAAUGAAAUUGAUCCUCCAGUACAAAAGCUGGAAUAAACUCAUAAGACGAGAAGACCCUGUGGAGCUUUAAAACCAAGAUCAUUAAACUAUGCUCCUUGGAUUUUUAGUUGGGGCGACUUUGGAGCAAAAAAA